CCUCUCUGGCUUUAUCGCAACAGCGCUUCAAUCUUUCGCCUUUUACUAAAGAUUGCCGUGUGGAAGGGCCACAAGGAGAGUGUAAUCAAUUUUUGGAAACCCUUUUUCUUGUCCACGUU
rfam:Rhizoclosmatium globosum strain JEL800 BCR33scaffold_46, whole genome shotgun sequence.